UACGGAGGGGGCUAGCGUUGUUCGGAAUUACUGGGCGUAAAGCGCACGUAGGCGGACCAGAAAGUUGGAGGUGAAAUCCCAGGGCUCAACCUUGGAACUGCCUUCAAAACUAUUGGUCUGGAGUUCGAGAGAGGUGAGUGGAAUUCCGAGUGUAGAGGUGAAAUUCGUAGAUAUUCGGAGGAACACUAGUGGCGAAGGCGGCUCACUGGCUCGAUACUGACGCUGAGGUGCGAAAGCGUGGGGAGCAAACAGG
rnacentral:rRNA from 1 species